CACAUGGGAACCCGAGAUACGGGAUCACCCCAUCUUAUUUACCGUUCCCGCACACGCUUCCAGAUCGUGGCAUCGUUUCCGUCGUGCCGCCAUGGUCCCCUCUCGCUCGCCGUGGCGACACCUGUUUCUUUCUCUUCUUGCCCGUGAUGUUUGAACUCGCAUGCAUGACGCACUCAUGGCAUAAUUAUCUUGUGUUGCAUGUCUCUUGUAACGUAGCUCCGAUCUAUGUCUCGCGUGUUACCCGACUAGGAUGUCAUGUAGGAUCAUCGCUUCACCCAUUGCCAUGCUAACAACAGUUUAAAAUUGCCGUGUAACUAAUCGGGAGUAAACUAAAUAUUUAAAUGUGGAG
rnacentral:lncRNA from 1 species